rnacentral:rRNA from 1 species
UACAGAGGGGGCAAGCGUUGUUCGGAAUUACUGGGCGUAAAGGGCGCGUAGGCGGCCUUCUAAGUCGAACGUGAAAUCCCCGGGCUCAACCCGGGAACUGCGUCCGAGACUGGAAGGCUUGAAUCCGGGAGAGGGAUGUGGAAUUCCAGGUGUAGCGGUGAAAUGCGUAGAGAUCCGGAAGAACACCGGUGGCGAAGGCGGCCUGCUGGGCGGCGACUGACGCUGAGGCGCGACAGCGUGGGGAGCAAACAGG